GUGUGGUGACAAGUCCUGUUUGCCACAGCAGAAACAAAGAUCUCCGUGAAGGCUGAAAACAGGAAGGUGUGGAGAGUACAAACCCAUCGCAAGGGACCCAGAAAGGCUCUGCCAGCCCAGCAUAGACAGAGAAGUUUGCCCUCAGCUCCAGAACAUCAGGGUUGGCAAAGAUGCUGACAAAGAGAAGAGGCAGCAGCAGGAGAAGGGGACUCUGACAGGCAAGCCCUGUGAGGGUUCGCAGCAGAAGGUGCAGCAGGAUGGGGAGGCCCUGGUACCCUCGCUGGGGCAGAGCCAUCCGGAAACGAGCUGGCCCAGGUCACAGCCACCAGCCCGAGUGGAGCCUCUCUCUGGGGUGACUGUGCUGUCCAGAUUUAAGCUGCUCCUAGAAGGCAGAUGGCAGGUCUUGGGAUGAGGAGAAGCUGGCUCUGCUCAGGGGUGAGAAGACCCAGGGAAGAAGCUGUUGGCCAACUGUGAAGUGACUUCAGUGCUGUGUGAAUGGACCAAUCAACAUCAAGGGGCUGUAUGCGUGGAUUCAAAACCCACCUAUAUAGAUUACUGAGUAGGGCUGAGAGGCCUGGGGAAAGACACUGUAGGCUUCACGGGGUGAGGGUGAUUACGAGGACGUUGUUCCUGUCCCCGGACUGAGCAACUCUGCUCCUGAUUCCACUCCAGCCUCACUUUCGCUGGUCAGGGAAAUGAAGUCAUUGGUCCAAGUCCUGUGUCUAAAUGCUGCAUCUGCAGCAUUCCCAUUUACUAUCCUCCUUUUCUCCCGAAACUGACCUUCUGAAACAAACUUCUCUUUGAAGUUGGUGAAGAAGAGAUCACUUGAUGUAGCUGCCUUUUGCCUAGGGCAGCUCUUGGAGAAAUCAUAAAGGAGGAAAAGUUAGAUGCUAAACCAUCAUUUCUCUGCUUCUCUCCCCUCCCCUUGUAACCUCUCAGUGCCCAGGGAUCUUUCCCUUUCCCUUUCCCAUGCUUGCUAGAAAGAAUCUGAUAGCAGCCAUUUAUAGUUAAAGGUCAGAGACUUUUUAGAAGCUAGUGUCAGAAUUUGGACGGAAGUCUAUGUCUCCCCAUUGUGUUGUCCUCUUCGCUGGUCUUUGCUGCACUAGGUUGAAUUUGUUCCCCAUCACUGCUCCCCAGCGCACCUCAUGACUCCUCUCAUUUGGCGCCCCAUGCAUAUCCCACACCUAGCCGAGGGUCUGGAGGAGGGGGAGAUCCUCUGAGGGCAGUGAGGGCUCUGGACACUGUAGGAGAACCUGACCCAGCCGUGGGAUCCCCACAUUGACAUCGUGUCUCCCUGGCAGGAGGACAAAAGCAGUGAGCGUGACAGCAGCAACAGUGAUGAGGACCCCAUACGAAAGGCCUGUAAGAGGCACCAACCGGACUGUCGUCUUGGACUCAAGCGCCCAAAGCAC
rnacentral:lncRNA from 1 species